AUUGAACGCUGGCGGCAUGCCUUACACAUGCAAGUCGAACGGUAACAGGUCUUCGGAUGCUGACGAGUGGCGAACGGGUGAGUAAUGCAUCGGAACGUGCCCAGUAGUGGGGGGUAGCCCGGCGAAAGCCGGAUUAAUACCGCAUACGACCUGAGGGGGAAAGGGGGGAUCGCAAGACCUCUCGCUAUUGGAGCGGCCGAUGUCAGAUUAGCUAGUUGGUGGGGUAAAGGCCUACCAAGGCAACGAUCUGUAGUUGGUCUGAGAGGACGACCAGCCACACUGGGACUGAGACACGGCCCAGACUCCUACGGGAGGCAGCAGUGGGGAAUUUUGGACAAUGGGCGCAAGCCUGAUCCAGCAAUGCCGCGUGCAGGAAGAAGGCCUUCGGGUGGUAAACCGCUUUUGCCAGGGAAGAAACGAGUUUCUCUAAUACAGAGACUUAAUGACGGUACCUGAAGAAUAAGCACCGGCUAACUACGUGCCAGCAGCCGCCGUAAUAC
rnacentral:rRNA from 1 species